rnacentral:rRNA from 1 species
UCGAGAAUUUUUCUCAAUGGGGGCAACCCUGAAGGAGCGACGCCGCGUGGAGGAUGAAGGUCUUCGGAUUGUAAACUCCUGUCAUUGGUGAACAAGAUACUGCCGUUAACUGCGGUGGUGUUUGAUAGUAGCCGAAGAGGAAGGGACGGCUAACUCUGUGCCAGCAGCCGCGGUAAUACAGAGGUCCCGAGCGUUGUUCGGAUUCAUUGGGCGUAAAGGGUGCGUAGGCGGCUUUCUAAGUCUGAUGUGAAAUCCUGGGGCUCAACCCUGGAACUGCAUUGGAUACUGGGAGGCUAGAGUACUGGAGAGGAAACUGGAAUUUACGGUGUAGCAGUGAAAUGCGUAGAGAUCGUAAGGAAGACCAGUGGCGAAGGCGAGUUUCUGGACAGUUACUGACGCUGAGGCACGAAGGCCAGGGGAGCAAACGGGAUUAGAUACCCCCGUAGUCC